rnacentral:rRNA from 1 species
AUUGAACGCUGGCGGCAGGCUUAACACAUGCAAGUCGAGCGAGAGGCGGACGGGAGAGUAAUGUCUGGGAAACUGCCUGAUGGAGGGGGAUAACUACUGGAAACGGUAGCUAAUACCGCAUACCAUCAGAUGUGCCCAGGUGGGAUGAGCGAGUGGGUGGGGUAAUGGCUCACCUAGGCGACGAUCCCUAGCGGGUCUGAGAGGAUGACCAGCCACACUGGAACGGAGACACGGUCCAGACUCCUACGGGAGGCAGCAGUGGGGAAUAGUGCACAAUGGGCGCAAGCCUGAUGCAGCCAUGCCGCGUGUGUGAAGAAGGUCUUCGGAUUGUAAAGCACUUUCAGCGAGGAGGCGUUACUCGCAGAAGAAGCACCGGCUAACUCCGUGCCAGCAGCCGCGGUAAUUC